UGCCCAGCAACUUUUAUCCCUACCUCCUCGUGGUACUGGCCGGGGUACGAGUAACCUUGGGGAUCGGGUAACCAACCCCCGGUGGGAACUUUGGUCGUAUGCUGACAGGGAAGG
rnacentral:ribozyme from 1 species